AGAAAGUUUCUUCAAUUUUUAUUAAAUUCAAUGGCUAUCACUCACAUAAUCAAAUGUCACAAUAUACAAAAGGUUGACCCUUAUAUUACUCCAUCAAAUAGUUCACU